AAUCUUAUUAUUAUUAUUAUUACAAAUUCAACUUUCAAAUGUCGAUGUUUUCGCAGUUCAAUUUCCUAAAGUCCAUUUCUCAUUUUCUUUAACAAAUUUCCAUUUAAUCACCGGAGCUCUAAUCUUUUAAAUUUAAUUCCAAAUACUCCAAUUUUCAAAUAAACUACAAGAAUCCAGUUUUCACUCGAAUAGUUUUAAUCCCAUUUCAGUUCCUAAAUAAUCUUCUGAUCUUCUUGAUUUUACAUAAGCAAUAAUGAUUCCUUCAUAAUUCUAAAACACGGGAUUUGUGAGAUUAGCUCAUGAACAAUAAAUUAGGCUUUGUUGGGGGCCCUAUGUUUGAUCCCUUUUGACUGUCAAUUGUUGUGCUUAAUAUAUUUUGCUUGAGCUUCGUUUUGCACUCCGAUAUGCAUGGGCUAUACUUUGUAUUCAUUAAUUGUGCACUAAUCUCGUUUCUUGAUAGCGCAUUGUGGCUCGUGGCCAAGGUACACAUCCACUCCCAUUCUAGUCAAUCUCUAUUGUGUGUUUUGAUUUUCAUAUUAUGCAUGAUUUAGGUGCGUAUCCAUUGACUUUCUCGUUGAUCGUCGCGUCAGUUUCAUUUUAUUAGUAGAGACCCAUUUUAGAGACUUAGAGAGGUGUUAUGGUCUUUACCGUACCUUCCCGAUAAGUAACCUGACCCCCGAACCCGAUCCGGUUUUUCGUAGACCACAUUUUCCAAAAUAAGGAGUCACACUUAGGGUUUUUCUUUCUUAUUUUGUUUACCCUUUAAAAAUAAAACAAAAAUAAGUGUUUCAAUCAAUUAAAUCAUUUUUCAAAUAAAAAUCGAGCUCGCCAUUCGAGUGGGAAACGCAUGAGCCGAAAUGCGAGGUCCACAAUAUAUAUAUAUAGGUUUUUCGUAGACCACAUUUUCCAAAAUAAGGAGUCACACUUAGGGUUUUUCUUUUUUAUUUUAUUUACCCUUUAAAAAUAAAACAAAAAUAAGUGUUUCAAUCAAUUAAAUCAUUUUUCAAAUAAAAAUCGAGCUCACCAUUCGAGUGGGAAACGCAUGAGCCGAAAUGCGAGGUCCACAAUAUAUAUAUAUAUAUUUAUAUAUAUAUAAUAGGAAUGCAAUAUAUUUUUUAUUUUAAAAAAAUGGAUGUUGAGAUGUAAUAAAAUUUCUAUUAUAUUUUUUAUUCCUUUUAUAAAUUAAAUAUAAACAUGCAAUAAAAUAUUAUGUUGGAUUUAAUAUCUAAAAUACCAUUAUCACUUUAGAUAUAGUAUAUUAAGAUUUGAUUAUGUUAUGUCUUAUUUUAUCCAUCAAUUAAAUGCAUCCUCCAUAUUUUAUACCGAUCUUGCACAUGGAAAAGGCAAAAUGGAACUAAUUAGGCCACGUCAUAUAUGUAAUUUAAGUUUUAUCAUGUUAUACACUAGGUCUUUAACUUUGUACCUCAAAUAUGAUUUUAGUACUUUGUACCUUGACCUCAUUCUUGUUAGCAUCUUUAUUCAAAGCUCUAAAUUUUAUCAUAAACUUUGAAUGACUGCUUGGAUUUGAACUUCAAUAGAUGUCAAUUUGGUACCUUAGACCUUUUCGGAUCUUAAAAACAUAAAAGAAAAAUAAAAUUUUAAAUAAUGAAUUUGAAGAAAAAUGAUACCUUUGAUCUUAAUUUGAAGAAAAAAAGAAUGAAAUUGUGUGGACCCCGCAUUUCGGCUCAUGCGUUUCCCACUAGAUGGUGAGCUCAAUUUUCAUUUGAAAAAUGAUUUUUAUUGAUUAAAAAAAUGACUUGGAGUCGCCACUUAUUUUUGUUUUAUUUUUAAAAGGGUAAACAAAAUAAGAAAGAAAACCCUAAGCGCGACUCCUUAUUUGGAAAAGGUGAUCUACGAAAAACCGGAUCGGGCUCGGGGGUCAGGUUACUUAUUGGGAGGGUACGGUAAAGACCAUAGUACUCCUCUAAGUCCCUAAAGCCGGGUCUCUACUAAUACAAUGAAACUGACGUGGCAAUCAACGAGAAAGUCAAUGGAUACUCACCUAAAUCAUGCACAAUAUGAGAAUCAAAAACACGCAAUAGAGAUUGACUAGAAUGGGAGUGGAUGCGUACCUCGGCCACGAGCCACAAUGCGCUAUCAAGAAACGGGAUUAGUGCACAAUUAAUGAAUACAAAACAUAGCUCAUACAUAUCGGAGUGCAAAACGAAGCUCAAGCAAAAUACAGUAAGCACGAUAAUUGACAGUCAAAAGGGAUCAAACAUAGGGCUUCCAACAAAGCCUGAUUUAUUAUUCAUGAGCUAAUCUCACAAAUCACGUGUUUUAGAAUUAUGAAGGAAUCACUAUUGCUUAUGUAAAAUCAAGAAGAUCAAAAGAUUAUUUAGGAACUAAAAUGGGAUUAAAAACUAUUCGAGUGAAAACUGGAUUAUUGGAGCUUGUUUGAAAAUUGGAGUAUUUGGAAUUAAAUUUUAAAUAUUAGAGUUCCGGUGAUUAAAUUGAAAUUUGUUAAAGAAAAUGAGAAACGGACUUUAGGAAAUUGAACUGCGAGACCAUAGACUUUUGAAAGUUGAAUUUAUAAUAAUGAUAGUAAUAAGGUCUUGAGAGUUUGAAUUAAUAAUAAUAAUAAUAAUAAGAUUUCGAAAGUCUGAAUUAAUGAUAAUAAUAAUAAUAAUAAGAUUUUGAAAGUGUGAAUUAAUAAUAAUAAUAAUAAUAAGAUUUUGAGAAUCGAAUUAAUGAAAAUAAUAAUAAUA
rnacentral:lncRNA from 1 species